rnacentral:rRNA from 1 species
GCUAUUGGGAUCCGAUUUAGCCAUGCUAGUCGCACGAGUUCAGACUCGUGGCGAAUAGCUCAGUAACACGUGGCCAAACUACCCUUCGGAACACAAUACCCUCGGGAAACUGAGGCUAAUAGUGUAUCCCAUACCACCACUGGAAUGAGUGGUAUGCCAAACGCUCCGGCGCCGAAGGAUGUGGCUGCGGCCGAUUAGGUAGACGGUGGGGUAACGGCCCACCGUGCCAAUAAUCGGUACGGGUCAUGAGAGUGAGAACCCGGAGACGGAAUCUGAGACAAGAUUCCGGGCCCUACGGGGCGCAGCAGGCGCGAAACCUUUACACUGCACGACAGUGCGAUAGGGGGAUCCCAAGUGCACAGGCAUAGCGCCUGUGCUUUUCGGCACCCUAAGGCGGUGCCAGAAUAAGGGCUGGGCAAGACCGGUGCCAGCCGCCGCGGUAAUACCGGCAGCCCAAGUGAUGGCCGAUCUUAUUGGGCCUAAAGCGUCCGUAGCUGGCCGCGCAAGUCCAUCGGGAAAUCCACCUGCUCAACAGGUGGGCGCCCGGUAGAAACUGCGUGGCUUGGGACCGGAAGGCGCGACGGGUACGUCCGGGGUAGGAGUGAAAUCCCGUAAUCCUGGACGGACCGCCGAUGGCGAAAGCACGUCGCGAGAACGGAUCCGACAGUGAGGGACGAAAGCCAGGGUCUCGAACCGGAUUAGAUACCCGGGUAGUCCUGGCCGUAAACAAUGUCUGCUAGGUGUGGCUCCCACUACGAGUGGGUGCUGUGCCGUAGGGAAGCCGCUAAGCAGACCGCCUGGGAAGUACGUCCGCAAGGAUGAA